rnacentral:lncRNA from 1 species
UCUAACUAAAGCAGCCAGCUCCUGACAUUUGGAUAAUGGCUCAGCUGAAGCUCACACAUGCAGCAGGGUCAGCUGGAUAGCCAGGCAUCCCACAGCAUCCACUUCAGUCCAGAGUUGGCAUUUGAAGACAAGGAGUGAGACCAGCACAACUGCAAGCCUUUAAUACACCUUCCUGCCUGUCUGCUGGAUUAAUUUUUGGAGUUUUGCACUUCAGGGCUUCUAGCCAGUGCUGCGUUCACAGCUGAGAAAUGCAGUGGUUUGCAGUGACCAAAGAAAGCCCCACACCACUUCAGCCUGGUGGCACUGUGAGUGUGUGCUCAUGUGUGUUUAUUGCAUCUGGAUGUUCACUAGGAAUUAACAGAACUGGUUAUCAGGUAAUCAUCGGCUUAUAAUAAGAUUUUUUUAAUUUCUCUUCCCAAAAGAAAAUCUGUGUGGGGAAAGUGUAAUGAUUGUUUUUUGUUUCUGUGUGUCACUGGUGUGGAAUAAACUGUUUGCUUUGAUGUUGAGAUUGGCUUCAGGUAUU